AACGAACGCUGGCGGCAUGCCUAACACAUGCAAGUCGAACGAGACCUUCGGGUCUAGUGGCGCACGGGUGCGUAACGCGUGGGAACCUGCCUUUAGGUUCGGAAUAACUCAGAGAAAUUUGAGCUAAUACCGGAUAAUGUCUUCGGACCAAAGAUUUAUCGCCUUUAGAUGGGCCCGCGUUGGAUUAGCUAGUUGGUGGGGUAAAGGCCUACCAAGGCGACGAUCCAUAGCUGGUCUGAGAGGAUGAUCAGCCACACUGGGACUGAGACACGGCCCAGACUCCUACGGGAGGCAGCAGUGGGAAUAUUGGACAAUGGGCGAAAGCCUGAUCCAGCAAUGCCGCGUGAGUGAUGAAGGCCUUAGGGGUUGUAAAAGCUCUUUUACCCGAGAUGAUAAUGACAGUAUCGGGAGAAUAAGCUCCGGCUAACUCCGUGCCAGCAGCCGCGGUAAU
rnacentral:rRNA from 1 species